UGACGGAGCACGCCGCGUGAGUGAUGAAGGUUUUCGGAUCGUAAAACUCUGUUGUUAGGGAAGAACAAGUACCGUUCGAAUAGGGCGGUACCUUGACGGUACCUAACCAGAAAGCCACGGCUAACUACGUGCCAGCAGCCGCGGUAAUACGUAGGUGGCAAGCGUUGUCCGGAAUUAUUGGGCGUAAAGCGCGCGCAGGCGGUUUCUUAAGUCUGAUGUGAAAGCCCCCGGCUCAACCGGGGAGGGUCAUUGGAAACUGGUGAACUUGAGUGCAGUAGAUGAGAGUGGAUUAGCCGGGUACCGUGCACUUGUGUGGAGAUGA
rnacentral:rRNA from 1 species